CCACCAGUGGAAUUGCGUUAGUAACGGCGAGUGAGCGGCAAAAGCUCAAAUUUGAAAUCUGGCACCUUCGGUGUCCGAGUUGUAAUUUGAAGAAGGUAACUUUGGAGUUGGCUCUUGUCUAUGUUCCUUGGAACAGGACGUCACAGAGGGUGAGAAUCCCGUGCGAUGAGAUGCCCAAUUCUAUGUAAAGUGCUUUCGAAGAGUCGAGUUGUUUGGGAAUGCAGCUCUAAGUGGGUGGUAAAUUCCAUCUAAAGCUAAAUAUUGGCGAGAGACCGAUAGCGAACAAGUACAGUGAUGGAAAGAUGAAAAGAACUUUGAAAAGAGAGUGAAAAAGUACGUGAAAUUGUUGAAAGGGAAGGGCUUGAGAUCAGACUUGGUAUUUUGCGAUCCUUUCCUUCUUGGUUGGGUUCCUCGCAGCUUACUGGGCCAGCAUCGGUUUGGAUGGUAGGAUAAUGACUAAGGAAUGUGGCUCUACUUCGGUGGAGUGUUAUAGCCUUGGUUGAUACUGCCUGUCUAGACCGAGGACUGCGUCUUUUGACUAGGAUGUUGGCAUAAUGAUCUUAAGCCACCCCUCUUUAACCACCCAACCAAAACAAAAAGAUGAAAGAAAAGCCCGGGCAGCAGAAAUAGCUAGUGAAGAAGUUACUUAGCUAAAUU
rnacentral:rRNA from 1 species